UCCUCUGUGGUGGGGGACCUAACAGACAAACAGGAUUAUAGUACUGUCUCUUUAAGCAUCAGGACAUCCUCUGUGGUGGGGGGACCUAACAGACAAACAGUUUAUAGUACUGUCUCUUAAGCCUCAGGAUAUCCUCUGUGUGGGGGGACCUAACAGACAAACAGGGAUUAGUAUGUCUCUUUAUGCACCAGGACCUCCUCUGUGGUGGGGGGACCUAACAGACAAACAGUUGCGUACUGUCUCUAAGCAUCAGGAUACCUCUCUGUGGUUGGGGACCUAACAGCCAAACAGGAUUAUAGUACUGUCUCUUAAGCACCCGGAUGAGGCUAUCCUCUGUGGUGGGGGGGACCUAACAGACAAACAGGAUUAUAGUACUGUCUCUUUAAGCAUCAGGAUCAUCCUCUGUGGUGGGGGGACCUAACAGACAACACCGGAUUAUAGUACUGUCUCUUUAAGCCUCAGGAUAUCCUCUGUGGUGGGGGGACCUAACAGACAAACAGGAUUAGAGUACUGUCUCUUUAAGCACCAGGAUAUCUAUCCUCUGUGGUGGGGGGACCUAACAGACAAACAGGAUUAUAGUACUGUCUCUUUAAGCACCAGGAUAUCCUCUGUGGUGGGGGGACCUAACAGACAAACAGGAUUAGAGCUAUGUCUCGUUAGGCUUCCCAUUAACAAAGCCAGCUCUAGCCAGUUUCCUCCACUAGCGACUAUCGUUCAUUACACGACAAACCAACCAGGCGACCUGACCUUGGCCCUCGUUGGACACCUCUAGAAUAAAAGCCAAUGGUAUUGGGAUUUGCCCUGGAUUAAAUUGACAUAUUGGACAAGGAGAGAUUUAUGUCUACUGUCCUAAAUCUUAAACCCACUCCAGGCCAGGGUCUAAUGUUUUAUACUGUAGAAUUCACCAUCUCUCCAUGACAAAACACAGCCAAGGUUACUUCACAUCUGAAGACAGAGAAAUAUAUCAAAAAGUAUAUCAACCCUGUAGGUUUGUGUGCAAGUAGGUGUAUGUGUGUGUUCUGUCGUGCACUGGAAGUGGAUGAGAUGGAUUUCUGUUCUCAGAAUGUGUAGCUAGUAGCCUAACAGUGGGAUUAUAUUGGAAGCCAGAGGCAGAGAAAUAGGCCAGGUCUGUAUUAUAGACACACAGGCUUGGGAAAGAAAGCAGACUCUCUGGCUCUCUGAAAGGGAUGUCAAUAGAUGGACUAACCCCCACUAGACUACAGCAAUGGGGGAAACGUUUCCAAUGCAGGUCACCCUCCACCUCCUGCAUCAGUACAUCACACAUCAAUUGUUCCAGUAAAAAACAUUGUUUACUUGGUUCCUCCCUGAAAGGUUGUACCUAGUGGUAUGAGGUUGCAGAUGUAUACAAUCGCCAUCUGUCACUCAAUACUCAACUAGUCUCUGCUAUUGGUUAUGUGAAUAAUGUAACUUUAGCUAAAUCAAUGAUCAUGAGCCUCAUUCAACCUGCUCAGUAGACAGAGCUUCAUUAGGCAGGCAACGGCUAAGAAAGUGAGAUGCAAGAUGUCUGGACUGAAAUCUUAGAACAUAUAUUAAAUUAAGAUGCAUAAAGAUAUUAUGAGAGAGAGAGAGAGAGAUACAUCUGUGUGAAGCUGAAAUCAAUCAAAUCAAUGUUGUGACAAAAAGUUAAGAAAUAACUAAAAGACUUGUGAAACAUAAAGAGCACUGUCUGGAAGUACCAGGACGGCUGAGGGACAACAGUAUUGUGCUGUGAGCAUUAGUUACCACAAACAAAUUAUGAAAUUAAGGCUUAAAAUGUGAUUAUGGUAAAAUGUCAAAUUACACCUGAAGGUUAUUGUAACUAAUGCAGACGAAUGGCAAAGUCAACCUUGGAAACCUACUGUAUCGUGUGUGAAGUGCAUUGUAAAAUGU
ensembl:lncRNA